CUCGGUACCUCACUAGACGAGAUUUAACCAAAUGUUAUUGGCAAAUACCACUCACAGAACGAGCAAAAUAAAAUACAGCAUUUUCUACUCCUGAUGGCCUAUUUCAGUAUAGAGUUUUGCCUUUUGGCUUGCAUGGUGCCCCUGCCACAUUCCAAAGAAUGAUGGACAGAAUACUAAAGCCGCAUGUGCGCUAUGCAGCUGCAUACUUGGAUGAUGUUGUGGUACACAGUGAGG